rnacentral:rRNA from 1 species
GAUGAACGCUAGCUACAGGCUUAACACAUGCAAGUCGAGGGGCAGCGGGAUUGAAGCUUGCUUCAAUUGCCGGCGACCGGCGCACGGGUGAGUAACGCGUAUCCAACCUUCCGUACACUCAGGGAUAGCCUUUCGAAAGAAAGAUUAAUACCUGAUGGUAUGAUGAGAUUGCAUGAUAGCAUCAUUAAAGAUUUAUCGGUGUACGAUGGGGAUGCGUUCCAUUAGGUAGUAGGCGGGGUAACGGCCCACCUAGUCUUCGAUGGAUAGGGGUUCUGAGAGGAAGGUCCCCCCACAUUGGUACUGAGACACGGACCAAACUCCUACGGGAGGCAGCAGUGAGGAAUAUUGGUCAAUGGCCGAGAGGCUGAACCAGCCAAGUCGCGUGAAGGAAGAAGGAUCUAUGGUUUGUAAACUUCUUUUAUAGGGGAAUAAAGUGGAGGACGUGUCCUUUUUGUAUGUACCCUAUGAAUAAGCAUCGGCUAACUCCGUGCCAGCAGCCG